CUUCCCAGGGGCCCAAACACGCCUGGCCAAGACGCCCUUUGCAAACUCGCCCGCCCCCUCCAGAGCAGGCGGGAGCCGAGGAGCCCCCAGCCUGGCCUAGGGCCCGCCUCCUUUCCUCCCUCUGCCCCCUUUCCGGAGCGGAGUAAAGGCGCACUUACAGCGGUUUGUGAUUGGGAGCAGAACGGAUAAAGCUAUCGUUUGAGCUCCCUCUGCUGGUCGUGAGUGAUACUUUUACCAGAAGACAGAUGAAGAGAGUGCAGGCAGUAUGGCCGAAAGGUGGGGAUGAAACACCUUUACCGUCGCUGUUACACUCCCCAUGGUAAAGGUUCCUCGUGCCCUCACUCCAGGCAUUGUGCACUCUGGUCCCUGCACUCUCUGCCGUCUCGGAACCUGGAUACUCCAGCUCUUGCCAAGGUGCUGACUUGCUUAAGAAGCCUAUCCUGCUCACCCCAGACACAGACACCAAUUAUGUAAGU